rnacentral:miRNA from 1 species
AGAGAGCUCUAAUGUCACUUA